GAUUCUGUGACCAGUCAUUAAUACAGAUUACUACAAAAAGGUUUACUCUAUAUGUGUUGGUUUCUAUAGUCCUCUCUUUAUGUUUACACAAGAUACAAGAUUCUGACUCAACUUCAGUACCUGACCACCAUGUAUUCAUGUGACUUAAGCCUGGGGAUAACCGGAGUAAGCAGACCUGACUAUAAAUAGGCUGCCGGAGCAGACUGUGAGAGAUUGGAUCUACUCCAUUUUAUAUAUGUCACAUUAAAAUAUCUACAAUAUUUUGUGUUCGUUUUCACAAAGAAUCAGACAAUUAGGUGAGAAAA